ensembl:lincRNA linc-6 ncRNA
CGGAUGUCUCUGGUUCGAUCCCCACGACCCCCCGCCAAUUUAUACUCGUCUACUCAUUUCGUUCUCGAUGUCUAAUUGCUCUACUGGACAACAACUCAUUCCUAAAAUCAUCAAAAGGAAGCGACGGAUUAUGAUAAAAAACCAAUCUAAACUAAGAAUAUGACAGAAAACAGU